AGGUUCGAUUAUGGCUCAAGGAUCAGACGCUGGCGGGAUGUCUUUACACAUGCAAGUCGAACGGCAGCACGGACUUCGGUCUGGUGGCGAGUGGCGAACGGGUGAGUAAUGUAUCGGAACGUGCCUAGUAGCGGGGAUAACUACGCGAAAGCGUAGCUAAUACCACAUACACCCUUCGGGAAGCGGGGACGGGCCUCGCACUAUUAGAGCAACCGAUAUCGGAUUAGCUAGUUGGUGGGGUAACGGCUCACCGGCGGCAUUCGUAGCUGGUUUGAGAGGACGACCAAACCACACUACUGGGACUGAGAGACACGGCCCAGACUCCCACCACGGGAGCAGCAGUGGGGGAAUUUUGGACAAUGGGGGAAACCCUGAUCCAACCAUCCCGCGUGUGCGAUGAAGGCCUUCGGGUUGUAAGCACUUUUGGCGGGGAAAGAAACGGCACGGGAUAUGCAACUGAUGCAACUGACGGUACCUGCAGAAUAAGCACCGAUAACUACGGUACCAGCAGCCGCGUGUACGUAGGGUGCAAGCGUUAAUCGGUCUGGGCGUAAAGCGUGCGCAGGCGGUUCCGAAGAAAGAUGUGAAAUCCGGAAAACGCUUUGGAACUGCAUUUUUUAACUACCGGCUAGAGUGUGUCGGGAGGUGGAAUUCACGUAACUGAUGAUGCGUAGAUAUGCCGGAACACCGAUGGCGAAGGCAGCCUCCUGGGAUGCUACUGACGCUCAUGCACGAAAGCGUGGGGGAGCAAACAGAGUUAGAUACCCUGGUAGUCCACGCCUAAACGAUGUCAACUAGCUGUUGGGGCCUUCGGGCCUUGGUAUUUUCUAUUGCUCGCGUGAAGUUGUGCGCCUGGGAGUACGGUCGCAAGAUUAAAACUCUAAAGGAAUUGACGGGGUUGCACAAGCAGUGGAUGAUGUGGAUUAAUUUGAUGCAACAUGAAAAACCUUACUACCCUUGUAUGUCUGGAAUCCCGAAGAGAUUUGGGAGUACUCGCAAGAGAACCGGAACACAGGUGUGCUGCAUGGCUGUCGUCAGCUCGUGUCGUGAGAUGUUGGGUUAAGUCCCGCAACGAGCGCAACCCUUGUCAUUAGUUGCUACGAAAGGGCACUCUAAUGAGACUGCCGGUGACAAACCGGAGGAGUGGGGAUAAUGUCAGUCCUCAUGAGCCUUAUGGGUAGGGCUUCACACGUCAUACAAUGGUCGGGACAGAGGGUCGCCAACCCGCGAGGGGAGCCAAUCCCAGAAACCCGAUCGCGUAGUCCGGAUCGCAGUCACAACUCGACUGCGUGAAGUCGGAAUCGCUAGUAAUCGCGGAUCAGCAUGUCUUGGUGAAUACGUUCCCGGGUCUUGUACACACCGCCCGUCACACCCAUGGGAGUGGGUUUUACCAGAAGUAGUUAGCCUAACCGUAAGGAGGCGAUUACAGUAGGAUUCAUGACUGGGGUGAAGUCGUAACAAGGUAGCCCUGU
rnacentral:rRNA from 1 species